CGUCCACCGAAUUUUUGGAAACCCUGAAUUUAUGUUGCGGCGUUUCAUCUUUCAUCGGCGUAUAUCUUCCUCUCAGAACCCUACAACCGCAAAACUGAAACAAGUGAGAAAUCAAUCGUCACUCCAUUUGAUGUAAUCCAUUUAUUCACCGAAGAAUACGGAGAGUGGGGAGCAGACACCAGCUUUGGAUUAAAAUCAAUAAGCAUAAUCUGAACUUAGUCGUGUUUUGUUUCUCCUUUAUCAUCUUCUAUUAAUGGUCAUUUGUUUGGCCGAUCAUGGAGCGGUGAGGGUUUAAUCGGAGCACCAAAGUCCGUCGGGUCAAGGAUUUCUACCAUGAUAUGACGAAAGGUCAGUGAUGAUGUUGUUUGGGGCGAUGGCAGUGGUAGGUAGUGGAAAAUCGAAGCCUCAACAGUGGCGGCUUUAGGGUUCCUUCAUGAGUCAGUCGGGUAUUGUCUCUUCUCUCUUGAAUUUUCAUUCGUAGCCUUCAUCCAGUUUCUGUCCGUCGAUCAGGUACCCCUACAAAAUCAUUUCGAAGCAUUUUUAUGCUAUGUGUGUUUGUGAUUUUGAGUUUAACCUAGAUUUUACAGAGAUGGGGAAGAAAGCUUCUGAUUUUGAGGGCUUUGGGUGUAUUUGCAUUUGUUGAUUUUGCGUGCAGUGGUCAAUUAGACUUACAUUGACAUUCAGGCUGGUCGAUUUCCACCCAAAUUGCCAUCUUGUGUAUUAGCAGAAAGCCACCGUUUGUAAACUCGAUUAUCUUUCUCGUAUCUAUGUUCUCUCGUUAUUUUGAUCUCUUUAUUUAAUCUUCUAUUGUUUUGGACUGCCAAAUUAUUUUGUAGAUUAUGAACCAUUGCUUAUAUUUCAGGUACAGGGGACCAUAGUUUUGUGCAAAGGUUGCGUCUUGGUGGGCCACUUUUGAAGGAAAAUAUAGCAACCAUGGAGCUGAGGACAUUUCGACUAUUAAGACAUUACUAGAGCAUAAUGUUGAUUGUAGUCCCGAAGAUAAGGUUUUUAAUCAUUCUUUUUAAAAUUUGUUGUCAUGUUAAUAAAGGCUGGCAUGAUUAUAAUUUCUGUUGCUUUUGAAAGAAGGCAUGCCCCCCAUGGGAAAUCAAAGGUUACUGUUUUUUUUAAACGAUGUUUUUGUUGAAGUCGUUGAUUCUUUUUGUUUUUUUUAACAAAUGUAAAUAGUGAAAUUUGAUUGUAGCUGCGUUGUUUUUGAGAUAAUUUUGUUCGGUUCGAAACGAUACGGGUCGAAAUGGUAUGGGUCGAAAUGGCUCGCAUUGAAACGGCUCGCGUCGAAAUGUUUCGUUUCGUCUGGAAGAUUUGGCGAUUCAAGGUGGAAGUUGAGGGAUUUUUUUUUCCAAAUGUGAUGGCGUUCCCUUGAUUACUGAAAAGGAACUGGUGGAAACCUUUAUGAAUCGGUGAUACACUUUGUGUAAACUUAGUGCAUUAAAUAUCAAACCAUACACAGAAAAAGAAACAUACGUGCGAGUCCAACUUGUGUAUUUACUGAAUUGUAUCAGCUGAAAAGUUCAAACACAAGUGCUGUGCUGGUUUGCUUACAAUGUGAUUUUUUAGCUUGAACUAAUAGAUAGGCAACCAUGGCUUCAUGUAUCUCAUAGCGACAGGCGUAAUUAAUCUCUGACACGACUAUAGAGGUUUAAAUGCAACUGCAGCUGAUACUAAACAAGGGUUUAAAAGAGCCUUUUCUGCUCCAUGGCCCGAAAAACUACGUUACCAGGGAGAUGGAAGACCAUUCUGGAGGCUUGUUGUUUCUGAAGCUACUGGUAGUGCUAAUAACGAUUAUUUUGAAGAAGUUUAUGAGGUUAGCCACCUAACGACUCAAAUGGGUCGCCAAAACAUUUAGGUUAAGAACUGGUGGGUAAAAUGGGUUGGACGGGAUAUAACUUAUAAGUGUUGAAAAUCAUCAAUGAGAAUGUUUUUAAACUCAUUCAGCAUCUAAUAUGUUUAAGGUUAGUUAGGCCAUUUUAAGAAAGCGAGAGUAAGGAUGAAACCGUAAAAGAUUUUAAAAAUGUAUUAUUAGGUUGAAAAGUGAUAAUCAUGUUAGGCAAGUCUGACGGGUACCAAGUAUAUGAUGGAAUGCCUUAAUGACGCCACUGCCUAUGGUGCUGGUUCCGCCUCUUGCUGCUCGAACCAGGUUUCGGUUUUGACUAUAUCAUAAGGAUGUGAUGCUGGGAAACACCAACAAGCUUUCAACCUCACCGGAGGAUUCGCUCCGUCGAAGUGCUUUGAUGACAAUAGUCCUAUAAUGGCAUGGGUAUUCCACGACCCAAACUAAAUGAUGUUGCAAAGGGACCUGGAGACAAAAGAAGCCUGGUAAACGCAUGUCAAAAUGAUAUGUGCCAUGUUCUAAAAGCCAUGCACAUCACGUUCCCAUUUGCCAAUGGCUGUUAUUUUUCUUUUGCAUGAUUAGAUAGUGCCAUAGUCGGUUAGUGGUGAGGGUUUUCUUAGUUGCAAGUUAGCCAUUUUUGUUAAUUUCGUAUUUCUUCUGUAAGUCUAUAUAUGAGCCAUAUGUAUUUAGAUCAAGGGAAUGAAGAAAUGAAUUAUUCAAAA